rnacentral:rRNA from 1 species
AGUGAACGCUGGCGGCGUGCUUAACACAUGCAAGUCGAACGGACUGACGGAGGGCUUGCUCUUCUGAAGUUAGUGGCGCACGGGUGAGUAAUGUAUAGCUAACCUGCCUCUUGGAUGGGGACAACAGUUGGAAACGGCUGCUAAUACCCUAUACUCCGUUAGCCCAUAAGGGUUAACGGGAAAGUUUUUCGCCAAGGGAUGGGGCUGUAUCGUAUCAGCUAGUUGGUAAGGUAACGGCUUACCAAGGCUAUGACGCGUAGCUGGUCUGAGAGGAUGAUCAGCCACACUGGAACUGAGACACGGUCCAGACUCCUACGGGAGGCAGCAGUGGGGAAUAUUGCACAAUGGGGGAAACCCUGAUGCAGCAACGCCGCGUGGAGGAUGACGCAUUUCGGUGUGUAAACUCCUUUUAUUUGGGAAGAUAAUGACGGUACCAAAUGAAUAAGCACCGGCUAACUCCGUGCCAGCAGCCGCGGUAAUACGGAGGGUGCAAGCGUUACUCGGAAUCACUGGGCGUAAAGGGUGCGUAGGCGGGUUAUCAAGUCUUGAGUGAAAUCCAACAGCUUAACUGUUGAACUGCUUAGGAAACUGGUAGCCUAGAGUAAGGGAGAGGUAGAUGGAAUUGGUGGUGUAGGGGUAAAAUCCGUAGAUAUCACCAGGAAUACUCAUUGCGAAGGCGAUCUACUGGAACUUAACUGACGCUGAGGCACGAAAGCGUGGGGAGCAAACAGGAUUAGAUACCCUGGUAGUCCACGCCCUAAACGAUGAACACUAUUUGUUGCUUUGCUAGUCAAGGCAGUAAUGCACUUAGCAGAUUAAGUGUUCCGCCUGGGGAGUACGGUCGCAAGAUUAAAACUCAAAGGAAUAGACGGGGACCCGCACAAGCGGUGGAGCAUGUGGUUUAAUUCGAAGAUACACGAAGAACCUUACCUGGGCUUGAUAUCCUAAGAAUCUCAUAGAGAUAUGGGAGUGUCGGCUUGCCGAAACUUAGAGACAGGUGCUGCACGGCUGUCGUCAGCUCGUGUCGUGAGAUGUUGGGUUAAGUCCCGCAACGAGCGCAACCCUCGUGUUUAGUUGCUAACAGUUCGGCUGAGCACUCUAAACAGACUGCCUUCGUAAGGAGGAGGAAGGUGGGGACGACGUCAAGUCAUCAUGGCCCUUAUGCCCAGGGCUACACACGUGCUACAAUGGCGCGUACAGAGAGCAGCAAUAUCGCAAGAUGGAGCAAAUCUUUAAAACGCGUCCCAGUUCGGAUUGGAGUCUGCAACUCGACUCCAUGAAGCCGGAAUCGCUAGUAAUCGUGAAUCAGCUAUGUCACGGUGAAUACGUUCCCGGG